GUUAGGAAUAUUGGACAAUGGGCGCAAGCCUGAUCCAGCCAUGCCGCGUGAGUGAUGAAGGCCUUCGGGUUGUAAAGCUCUUUAGUCCACGAAUAUAAUGACUGUAGUGGAAGAAUAAGCCCCGGCUAACUUCGUGCCAGCAGCCGCGGUAAUACGAAGGGGGCGAGCGUUAUUCGGAAUCACUGGGCGUAAAGCGUGCGUAGGCUGUUUUGUAAGUCAGAAGUGAAAGCCCAGGGCUUAACCCUGGAAUUGCUUUUGAAACUACAAGACUCGAGUUCGGGAGAGGAUAGCGGAAUUGUCAGUGUAGCAGUGAAAUGCGUAGAUAUUGACAGGAACACCAGUGGCGCAAGCGGCUAUCUGGACCGAUAUUGACGCUGAGGCACGAAAGCGUGGGGAGCAAACAGGAUUAGAAACCCUAGUAGUCC
rnacentral:rRNA from 1 species